AAACCUUCGGUAACUCAAAGGCGAACCUGCAGAUCGGCGUCCAGUCCAACCAGACGAACUCCUUCCAGGACAUCGGCUUCGGAUACGUCGGCGCCGCGCUGCAGCACAAGCCCCCGGCGGUGAUCGCGUACGAGCAGACGAGCGCGGCCGGGGAGACCAACGGCGAUCUCGUGUUCGGGACGAGGAGCACCACGGACGGGUCAUCAGCCGCGUCCCGAGUGAUGCGCAUCAGGGCGUCUGGCGCGGUUGAGGUGGACGGGGACACCACCGUGAGCGAGACGCUGCGGGUGAACAAGGACGUCACGCUGGACGCGGACCUCGUGGUGACCAAGGCGGCGACGGCGUGGACGCACUCGGGGGGAACGAGCCUGGUCGUCACCAGUACCAACGGAUUCGUGAAGGUGGUGUCGUCCAGUCAGUACGUGGAUGUGGAGUCGGUGAGGUUCACGGACGACUACAUCGGCAUCGCCGGGGAUACGAACAUCAUCCGGCUGACCAGCACCGGGAGCGUCGCGACCGCUCUGCUGGACGGCAAGUUGGACGUCACUGACGAUGUGAGGAUCGGAGACACGAGCAAUCCGAAGCUCACUGUCGACGCGAGCAACGGCAACACGGUUAUCAACGGGACCCUUGAUGUGAACGGCAAUGCCGUGUUCGAGGGUGAGGUUCUCGUGAAGGGUUUCUUUCACGCGCUGGGUGACUAUCGCAUCGGUGACAGCGCGCCGUCGGACUCGCUGACGAUCAAGGCUGCGACGAACCAGACCGGGGACAUGACGCUGAUGGAUACGCUCGAUGUGUACGGUGUGGCCACCUUGUACAACAAUCUUGUGAUUUCAGGGUCAAAAGACUUCACGAUGAACACCAACAAGUUCAAGGUGACGGGGAGCAGCGGAAACGUGGAGACACUCGGGAGCGUGACGAUGCACGCGGUGAACAGCGUGCUGACGCACGACGGGGCGUCGGGUAGCCUGGCGAUCUCGAGCAGCACGGGGCCAGUGACGAUCACGGGGCAGUCGACUGGGGGUUACGUGGACGUGGAGUCAGUGCGGUUCACCGACAACCAGAUUGGCACCACGAAUGAUGCAGACCUCAUCACCCUGGCUGACAACAGUGUGACCAUCGCAGGUGGUCUGACGACUACCACGAUGGCUGUGACGAGCACGUUUGGCGUGACCUCGGACUUCGCGGUUAACACCGACAAGUUCAUCGUUCACUCAAGCAACGGCAACGUGACGAUGAAGGGUGACUUGGAGAUGGAGGGUGAUACGGCGACGCUGACACACAGCGGGUCGACAGGGGGUCUGGCGAUAUCGAGCGCGCAGCACGUGGACGUGGAGUCAGUACGCUUCACUAGUGACAAGAUUGGUCUGAGCGGUGAUACGGCCAUCCUGCAGCUGACAACGUCGGCAAGCGUGGGGAACGUGGCGAUUGACGGCACGGUGACGAUGAUCGAUGACACGACAUCGCUGACGCACACGGGAACGACGAGCCUGGCGAUCUCGAGUACGAACGGGCACAUCACGAUCGCUGGGGGAUCGGAUGACUACGUGGAUGUGGAGUCAGUGAGGUUCACGGACAACCAGAUUGGCAUCAGUGGCGACACCGACAUCAUCCGGCUGACGAGCACCGGGAGCCAGGCGACCGUGGCGAUGGUGGCAGAUGUGGACGUGACGGGUACGAUGGAUGUGAGCUCGGACUUUGCGAUAGGGACGACGGUGUUCAAGGUUGUGGAGUCAACAGGCGCGGUGUCGAUGAGCAGUGCGGCGCAGACAAUCACCCACAGCGGCGCAACGAGCCUGACGAUAUCGAGCUCUCAGGCAGCGGCGUUCGUGAAGAUCGAGGGAGGGUCGUCGGCGUACGUGGACGUGGAGUCGGUGAGGUUCACGGAUAACAAGAUCGGCAUGAACACGGGGAAUGCAGACCUGAUCACACUGGUGAAUGCCAAGAUGUCACUGGCAGGGGCACUUGAUCUGACGGUGGAGGAUGCAACAAUCACACACACAGGGUCUAGUGGGACACCAACGCUGACAAUCUCGAGCACGAACGGGCCUGUGUCUUUGGCAUCGACGGCGGCGUAUGUGGACGUGGAGUCAGUGCGGUUCACCGGAGACCAGAUUGGUCUGAGUGGUGAUGUGGCAAUCUUGCAGCUGACAACGUCGGCAAGCGUUGGGAACGUGGCAAUUGACGGCACGGUGACGAUGAUCGAUGACACGACAUCGCUGACGCACACGGGAACGACGAGCCUGGCGAUCUCGAGUACGAACGGGCACAUCACGAUUGCUGGGGGGUCGGAUGACUACGUGGAUGUGGAGUCGGUGAGGUUCACGGACAACCAGAUUGGCAUCAGUGGUGACACGGACAUCAUCACGCUCACGUCUGGCGCAGCAAAGGUGACCGGGACACUGAACGUGACAGCCGCGACACAGCUGGACACCACACUGGGAGUGACUGGAGCAGUGACGCUGGCGGAUGACGUGACGAUGACGAAAGCUGCGGCAGCCCUGACGCACUCGGGGACGACGAGCCUGGCGAUCUCGAGCACCAACGGGCACAUCACGAUUGCUGGGGGGUCAGGUGACUACGUGGACGUGGAGUCGGUGAGGUUCACGGAUGACUACAUCGGCAUCAGUGGCGACACCGACAUCAUCCGGCUGACGAGCACCGGGAGCCAGGCGACCGUGGCGAUGGUGGCAGAUGUGGACGUGACGGGUACGAUGGACGUGAGCUCGGACUUUGCGAUUGGGACGACGAAGUUCAAGGUUGUGGAGUCAACAGGCGCGGUGUCGAUGAGCAGUGCGGCGCAGACAAUCACCCACAGCGGCGCAACGAGCCUGACGAUAUCGAGCUCUCAGGCAGCGGCGUUCGUGAAGAUCGAGGGAGGGUCGUCGGCGUACGUGGACGUGGAGUCGGUGAGGUUCACGGAUGACUACAUCGGCAUCGCCGGGGAUACGAACAUCAUCCGGCUGACAAGCACCGGGAGCGUCGCGACCGCUCUGCUGGAUGGCAAGUUGGACGUCACUGACGAUGUGAGGAUCGGAGACACGAGCAAUCCGAAGCUCACUGUCGACGCGAGCAACGGUAACACGGUUAUCAACGGGACCCUUGAUGUGAACGGCAAUGCCGUGUUCGAGGGUGAGGUUCUCGUGAAGGGUUUCUUUCACGCGCUGGGUGACUAUCGCAUCGGUGACAGCGCGCCGUCGGACUCGCUGACGAUCAAGGCUGCGACGAACCAGACCGGGGACAUGACGCUGAUGGAUACGCUCGAUGUGUACGGUGUGGCCACCUUGUACAACAAUCUUGUGAUUUCAGGGUCAAAAGACUUCACGAUGAACACCAACAAGUUCAAGGUGACGGGGAGCAGCGGAAACGUGGAGACACUCGGGAGCGUGACGAUGCACGCGGUGAACAGCGUGCUGACGCACGACGGGGCAUCAGGGAGCCUGGCGAUCUCGAGCAGCACGGGGCCGGUUACGCUGGCUGGAAACACGUACGUGGACGUGGAGUCAGUGCGGUUCACUAGUGACAAGAUUGGUCUGAGUGGUGAUACGGCCAUCCUGCAGCUGACAACGUCAGCAAGCGUUGGGAACGUGGCAAUUGACGGCACGGUGACGAUGAUCGAUGACACGACAUCGCUGACGCACACGGGGACGACGAGCCUGGCGAUCUCGAGUACGAACGGGCACAUCACGAUUGCUGGGGGGUCGGAUGACUACGUGGAUGUGGAGUCGGUGAGGUUCACGGAUAACAAGAUCGGCAUGAACACGGGGAAUGCAGACCUAAUCACACUGGUGAAUGCCAAGAUGUCACUGGCAGGGGCACUUGAUCUGACGGUGGAGGAUGCAACAAUCACACACACAGGGUCUAGUGGGACACCAACGCUGACGAUCUCGAGCACGAACGGGCCUGUGUCUUUGGCAUCGACGGCGGCGUACGUGGACGUGGAGUCAGUGCGGUUCACCGGAGACCAGAUUGGUCUGAGCGGUGAUACGGCCAUCCUGCAGCUGACAACGUCGGCAAGCGUGGGGAACGUGGCGAUUGACGGCACGGUGACGAUGAUCGAUGACACAACAUCGCUGACGCACACGGGGACGACGAGCCUGGCGAUCUCGAGUACGAACGGGCACAUCACGAUUGCUGGGGGGUCGGAUGACUACGUGGAUGUGGAGUCAGUGAGGUUCACGGACAACCAGAUUGGCAUCAGUGGUGACACGGACAUCAUCACGCUCACGUCUGGCGCAGCAAAGGUGACCGGGACACUGAACGUGACAGCCGCGACACAGCUGGACACCACACUGGGAGUGACUGGAGCAGUGACGCUGGCGGAUGACGUGACGAUGACGAAAGCUGCGGCAGCCCUGACGCACUCGGGGACGACGAGCCUGGCGAUCUCGAGCACCAACGGGCACAUCACGAUUGCUGGGGGGUCAGGUGACUACGUGGAUGUGGAGUCGGUGAGGUUCACGGAUGACUACAUCGGCAUCAGUGGCGACACCGACAUCAUCCGGCUGACAAGCACCGGGAGCCAGGCGACCGUGGCGAUGGUGGCAGAUGUGGACGUGACGGGUACGAUGGACGUGAGCUCGGACUUUGCGGUGAACACCAACAGCUUCAAGGUGACCGGGAUCAACGGCAACACGGAGAUCCUGGGAAGCCUGACGAUGAAGGCUGUGAGCGGCAUCAUCACGCACGACGGGGCAUCAGGGAGCCUGGCGAUCUCGAGCAGCACGGGGCCGGUUUCGCUGGCUGGAAACACGUAUGUUCAGGUUGAAACUGUCAAGAUCACGAACAACCAGAUCGGCAGCACUGGAGACGCCGACUUGAUUACGUUGACAGAUGACAAUGUGGAUAUCGCUGGCACCCUUAAGAUGUCCGUGAAUGCUGCUGCACUCACACACACUGGCACGACGAGCCUUGCUAUCUCAAGUACGAGUGGGCACAUCACGAUUGCAGGCGGGUCCUCAGGGUACGUUGAUGUUGAGUCAAUCAGGUUCACCAACGCACAGAUCGGCAUCAGCACUGACACCGACAUCAUCACGCUGACGAGCAGCGGUGGGACGGCGGACGUGGAUGUUGAUGGAACCAUGGGCGUCAGCAACACAGUGACCUUGAGUGCGGCUGCUGCUGCACUCACGCAUUCUGGUGCAACAAGCUUUGCAAUAUCGAGCUCUCAGGCAGCUGCAUUCGUGAAGAUCGAGGGAGGGUCGUCGGCGUACGUGGACGUGGAGGACGUUCGGAUCACCGACACUAAGAUUGGCACAACGAAUGAUGCAGACCUCAUCACCCUGGCUGACAACAGUGUGACCAUCGCAGGUGGUCUGACGACCACGACGAUGGCUGUGACGAGCACGUUUGGCGUGACCUCGGACUUCACGGUUAACACCGACAAGUUCAUCGUUCACUCAAGCAACGGCAACGUGACGAUGAAGGGUGACUUGGAGAUGGAGGGUGAUACGGCGACGCUGACACACAGCGGGUCGACAGGGGGUCUGGCGAUAUCGAGCGCGCAGCACGUGGACGUGGAGUCAGUACGCUUCACGACAAACCAGAUUGGCAGCACGGGAGACCCUGACUUGAUCACGCUGGUGAAUGAUAAGAUGUCACUGGCCGGGACCCUCGAGAUGACAGUCAACAGCGCAGCCUUGACGCACUCGGGGACGACGAGCCUGGCGAUCUCGAGCACCAACGGGCACAUCACGAUUGCUGGGGGGUCAGGUGACUACGUGGAUGUGGAGUCGGUGAGGUUCACAGAUGACUACAUCGGCAUCAGUGGCGACACCGACAUCAUCCGGCUGACGAGCACCGGGAGCCAGGCGACCGUGGCGAUGGUGGCAGAUGUGGACGUGACGGGUACGAUGGAUGUGAGCUCGGACUUUGCGAUUGGGACGACGAAGUUCAAGGUUGUGGAGUCAACAGGCGCGGUGUCGAUGAGCAGUGCGGCGCAGACAAUCACCCACAGCGGCGCAACGAGCCUGACGAUAUCGAGCUCUCAGGCAGCGGCGUUCGUGAAGAUCGAGGGAGGGUCGUCGGCGUACGUGGACGUGGAGUCGGUGAGGUUCACGGAUAACAAGAUCGGCAUGAACACGGGGAAUGCAGACCUGAUCACACUGGUGAAUGCCAAGAUGUCACUGGCAGGGGCACUUGAUCUGACGGUGGAGGAUGCAACAAUCACACACACAGGAUCUAGUGGGACACCAACGCUGACGAUCUCGAGCACGAACGGGCCUGUGUCUUUGGCAUCGACGGCGGCGUACGUGGACGUGGAGUCAGUGCGGUUCACCGGAGAUCAGAUUGGUCUGAGCGGUGAUACGGCCAUCCUGCAGCUGACAACGUCGGCAAGCGUGGGGAACGUGGCGAUUGACGGCACGGUGACGAUGAUCGAUGACACAACAUCGCUGACGCACACGGGGACGACGAGCCUGGCGAUCUCGAGUACGAACGGGCACAUCACGAUCGCAGGCGGGUCGGAUGACUACGUGGAUGUGGAGUCGGUGAGGUUCACGGACAACCAGAUUGGCAUCAGUGGUGACACGGACAUCAUCACGCUCACGUCUGGCGCAGCAAAGGUGACCGGGACACUGAACGUGACAGCCGCGACACAGCUGGACACCACACUGGGAGUGACUGGAGCAGUGACGCUGGCGGAUGACGUGACGAUGACGAAAGCUGCGGCAGCCCUGACGCACUCGGGGACGACGAGCCUGGCGAUCUCGAGCACCAACGGGCACAUCACGAUUGCUGGGGGGUCAGGUGACUACGUGGACGUGGAGUCAGUGAGGUUCACGGAUGACUACAUCGGCAUCAGUGGCGACACCGACAUCAUCCGGCUGACAAGCACCGGGAGCCAGGCGACCGUGGCGAUGGUGGCAGAUGUGGACGUGACGGGUACGAUGGACGUGAGCUCGGACUUUGCGAUUGGGACGACGAAGUUCAAGGUUGUGGAGUCAACAGGCGCGGUGUCGAUGAGCAGUGCGGCACAGACAAUCACCCACAGCGGCGCAACGAGCCUGACGAUAUCGAGCUCUCAGGCAGCGGCGUUCGUGAAGAUCGAGGGAGGGUCGUCGGCGUACGUGGACGUGGAGUCGGUGAGGUUCACGGAUGACUACAUCGGCAUCGCCGGGGAUACGAACAUCAUCCGGCUGACAAGCACCGGGAGCCAGGCGACCGUGGCGAUGGUGGCAGAUGUGGACGUGACGGGUACGAUGGAUGUGAGCUCGGACUUUGCGGUGAACACCAACAGCUUCAAGGUGACGGGGAGCAGCGGAAACGUGGAGACACUCGGGAGCGUGACGAUGCACGCGGUGAACAGCGUGCUGACGCACGACGGGGCAUCAGGGAGCCUGGCGAUCUCGAGCAGCACGGGGCCGGUUACGCUGGCUGGAAACACGUACGUGGACGUGGAGUCAGUGCGGUUCACCGGAGACCAGAUUGGUCUGAGUGGUGAUGUGGCAAUCUUGCAGCUGACAACGUCGGCAAGCGUGGGGAACUUGGCGAUUGACGGCACGGUGACGAUGAUCGAUGACACGACAUCGCUGACGCACACGGGAACGACGAGCCUGGCGAUCUCGAGUACGAACGGGCACAUCACGAUUGCUGGGGGGUCGGAUGACUACGUGGAUGUGGAGUCGGUGAGGUUCACGGACAACCAGAUUGGCAUCAGUGGUGACACGGACAUCAUCACGCUCACGUCUGGCGCAGCAAAGGUGACCGGGACACUGAACGUGACAGCCGCGACACAGCUGGACACCACACUGGGAGUGACUGGAGCAGUGACGCUGGCGGAUGACGUGACGAUGACGAAAGCUGCGGCAGCCCUGACGCACUCGGGGACGACGAGCCUGGCGAUCUCGAGCACCAACGGGCACAUCACGAUUGCUGGGGGGUCAGGUGACUACGUGCAAGUUGAAACCGUGAAGAUCACCGACAACCAGAUCGGUAGCACCGGGGAUGCAGACCUGAUCACGCUGACCGACAACAACGUGAAGGUGGACGGCGCCCUGGAGCUGUCCAUCGAGGCCGCGACAAUCUCGCACACCGCCUCCUCUGGCACGCCGACGCUCACCAUAUCGAGCAGCAACGGCCCCGUCUCUGUGCAAUCCACAAACGAUCACGUGGACGUCGAGUCCGUGCGGUUCACCGGCGCGCAGAUCGGACUCAGCGGCGACGUCGACAUCAUGACCCUAUCCACCAGCAGCAACGAGGGGACUGUCGCGUUUUCGCACAAGAUCACGACCGGGGGACUCGCGACGCUGGAGUCUGCGACGGUGACUAACGCGAUUAGCACCGGCGCCGCUACGCUCGCAUCCGCCUCGGUGACCGGCGACCUCGCGGUGAACACCAACAGGUUCAAGGUGACCGGGACCAGCGGCAACACGGAGAUCCUUGGAAGCCUGACGAUGAAGGCUGCGAGCGGCGUCAUCACCCACGAUGGAACCGCGGGAAGCCUGGCGAUCUCGAGCAGCACGGGGCCGGUGACAAUCGCGGGGCAGUCGACUGGGGGUUACGUGGACGUGGAGUCAGUGCGGUUCACCGACAACCAGAUCGGUGUGAGUAAUGACGCUGACCUCAUCGCGCUCGCCGCCAACGACUUGACCGUGAACGGCGCGGCGACGGUGACCAGCACGAUGGAUGUAACCUCAGACUUUGCGGUGAACACGAACAAAUUCAAGGUCACUGGCACCAACGGCAACACUGAAAUUUUCGGCGCGGUGAGCCUCACUGGUGACUCAGCCACGAUCACCCACUCUGGCUCCACAGGCCUAACCAUAUCCAGCGCAGCUGGGCAGUACGUGGAUGUGGAGCUCGUGCGCAUCACGGACAACCAGAUUGGCGUCAGCGGCAAAGCCGAUCUUCUCACUCUCACCACCGGCGGGGCUGCUGUCGACGGGACGCUGGAUGCGUCUGGAAAUUUCCGCGUCGCCACCUCCAAGUUCACCGUGGAUGCGAGCAACGGCAACACCGUGGUGGACGGUACCCUCGGCGUGAACGGCGCCGCCACGUUCGAGGGCCAGGUCACAGUCAAGGGCUUCUUCCAGGCGCUGGGCGACUACCGCAUCGGAGACAGCACCUCUGCCGAUACCCUCACCGUCGCCGCCGUUUCGAAUUACACCGGCGACACGACGAUGAUGGAGAAGCUGGACGUGUACGGAACCACCACCCUGCACGACGCCCUCACGGCAACGAGCGCGUCGCUGUCCAGCACCCUGUCGGUCUCCGGCACCUCAACGCUCGCCGCGGCGACGCUGUCUAGCACCCUCGGGGUGACUGGUCACACCACGGCAACCUCCGCCACGCUCUCCGGCGCGCUCACCGUGAACGCCGCCUCCACCCUCAACGGCGCCGCGACGGUAACCGGCGCGGUGUCGCUGUCGGCGACCGCCGCGACGAUCACGCACACGGGCACGGGGGGCGCCACGAACGGACUGGCGAUCACGAGCACGCAGGGGUAUGUCGACGUGGAAUCCGUGCGGUUCACCACCGAUGAGAUCGGGCCCACCACGGACGCGGAUCUCGUCAAGCUGGCGUUGAACUCGGUGACGGUCAGGGGUUCGAUCACGGCGGAUACCACGCUUUCAUCCACGGGGGACUUUGCGGUCAACACCGACAAGUUCAAGGUGACUGCCUCCUCCGGAGCUGUGUCGAUGAGCAGUGCGGCGCAGACAAUCACCCACAGCGGCGCAACGAGCCUGACGAUAUCGAGCUCUCAGGCAGCGGCGUUCGUGAAGAUCGAGGGAGGGUCGUCGGCGUACGUGGACGUGGAGGACGUUCGGUUCACCGACACUAAGAUUGGCACAACGAAUGAUGCAGACCUCAUCACCCUGGCUGACAACAGUGUGACCAUCGCAGGUGGUCUGACGACCACGACGAUGGCUGUGACGAGCACGUUUGGCGUGACCUCGGACUUCACGGUUAACACUGACAAGUUCAUCGUCAACGCGACUAACGGAAACACGAAGAUGACGGGGAAUCUUGAGAUGUCAGGAGACACGG
rnacentral:lncRNA from 1 species